rfam:Asian citrus Psyllid, Diaphorina citri - Florida Strain, whole genome shotgun sequence.
GCCUAGUUAGCUUAGUUGGUAGUGCGUCUGCCUCGUAAGCGCUAGGCCGCGGGUUCGAUUCCCCGCCCGGGGCG